UUCAUCCUUUUAUUUUCCUAAAAUACUCUUGCGCUUUCUCCUCCGACUCAUGUCGUGCGCACUCCUUCCCCCAAAUCGCAUCACAUUGGCAGCCAACCCCGCACACCUCUGCCGCCCCCACCUUCUCCACCACUCAGAUUCGAUUCAAUCCUCGGCCGAUGUCCUCCAGCAGGUAGUUGUUCCUCUCCUUCGGCAUAUGCUUGGUCGCCGACAGCAACGGGGGUUCACCCAUGAGCGGUGGUGAGAAGGAGAAGGUCAUGCUAGAUCUGGGGUAUCUUGACGUCGUUGAGCCCAAGACGCCGCUGGUGGACGACGACGGCCUCGAGGUCUGCACGGUGGAGCUCGACCUAACACCGGCAGAGGAGGUACUUCUCCAUCAAGCAGAUCUCGGGCCCUUCUCCAUCGAGAAGUUACAGUCUCCUUGUAAUGUGUUGCUUUGGAGUACUCCUACCCAUUGUCCAUCGUGCUGGUUGGGGUCGGGGAUGGCCCCUGGAAGGACAUGCAGAAGUUCGAUGACAAGCUCCCGGCACGUGACUUCGACAACUUCCAGUUCGUCAACUUCACUUCGCUUAUGGAGGUCCCCAUCCAGUACAAGGCCACCGUCGAGCUCGGCAUCCUAGGUCGAACAACUGGGAAAGCUAAGAGGGUUUAGCCGGCGCUGCCGCCACUGCCGCAGAGGCAGUCGUCGUUAAGGAGGGGGAGCAGCAACGUUAGCGCUGCAUCAGUGCCAUCUCUGAGAAAUGAUCAAGUGACAAUGAAAGAAAGGAACAACAAGAAGAAGAUGACAAGACUGUCAUUUUUCUUUUUCUUCUGUUCUGAAUUUUGAGUCUGUAUCUACACUCACAUAUUGGAUCAAUGAUGUCACAACAAAUGCUCUCAUGUCCAUGCAGGUGUGCCCAAUCUACCUGACCAAUGCCAAGGAUCUAGCAUUUGGCUGUGACCACAUGUGUUGCAGGGAAUGUGGGGAGAGCCUCACCAGAUGCCCUAUAUGUCGACAGCCAAAAUAGUGUUUCUUUGUGAAUUUAUAGAGUUUUUGAAGAUACAUGGUGUGAGCAGGUCCUCGAGCCAGUAUUUGGUUGCUAUGUUUAGGAUGCAGAUUGUACAAUACUCCCAUAGUAUUAUCGCAUUUUGUGAGUUCUAGGAUUCUUCAUGAUGUGCAGUCUGACCUAUUCUUCAUUAGUUAGCAAAUUAAUUUAUAUUUACUAUGGUCAUAGGGUGACAAAGAAACCAAACACUUCAGUUAUCCUCACCUGACAUGUGAAAUAUGUUGACCAAAUCACUGCUUUUGUUGUCAUUUCUCUUUGACUAUGCUCUGAUUAGUAAGAAUUAGUUAUUCUGACAUCGAUUUGUCAUGUUUAAGAAACUGAUGUGUUCUCAAAUCAGUCUGUGGAGUAGGUUUCAAAGUGGAGUAUAUUUAAGUCUUGUUUCGUGAGGUGUACUUCUCAAACCUGAAAAUGGCUUAAAGUGCAUGUUUCCUGAACCUUUAUACUCAUGCACAUCUCUGAAUAAUUAACCAGUGGUUACAAUCUCUGAAUAAAAUAAGCAUUAACAUGUUAAUAUAGUAAUAAUGCUCCACACAAUACUCCUCACAAGUCUAAAAUUCUAUUGCAUCUACAGAACCGACGACAACCAUAUUAACUUAAACACAGUAAUACUCCACACCAUUAACAUUACAACACAUUAAUAUCACGCUCAACCAUAAUGAGCUAGAUUUGCCAGUAUACUAUCAUAGAGAUCUUUAUCACAUGACAACCGAUGAGGUAGCCUCCCUUCUCUUUCUAGCCUUAUCUUAUUCAUAUGUGGAUUUCUGUACCUAUUUCCUCCUCCAAUCUUCAUCACCUCCUUCAUGCACAUCUGGAGACUUAGGAACACUCUAUUUAGAUUUUUCACAUCAUAUGCUUCAUACUCUUCCUCCACACCUUGAAUUAGCUCCUCAAUAGUUGUAGGGUUUCUGGAAUCAGUUAAAGACUGGAGGGAUCUGAAGAAACCUAGGUAUAGUACAUUCAAGUCUAGGAAGUUAGGUGGUUGUUGUCUCAAUCAGAUAUCUAGCCCUAUAGCCGCCACAGCUUGAAGGAAGGCUGGAUCAUUUGGACUAACAUGUGUUCUUGCGUUGUCCUGCUGGAUGUAAAUAGUCUCAUGAAUAGCAUCUUGCAGCCACACUGAUUUGAUUGCUGGGAUAACUUUUUCAAUCAGAUAUUGCCUCAUCACCUCCCUAUUGACUAUGAUUGAUUUUGUUUCCAAGGUUCCUCUCUCCCUGUUAUGGAUCCUUCUGGCUGCAGGCACCUCUUUUACAAAUGCCCAUACACCAAUCUUUCCAGAAAAUAUCACAAUCCCUUUAGCAUUACGUCUAGGCCUCGCCACAACUAUUAGGAGCAUGACUUUGCCAAUGCUAUUCUUGUUCUGAAUAGUCCGUUCAGGGUCAUCUUCUUUUGGUAGGAGGUAGUAUUUCCUUGCCUUUUUGUCAUAUAAUACCAUUUCUCAUCCAUGUGGAGUAUAUUUUGCAUGUCAAUGAAUUUAGGUUCAGCAUCCCCUAGAGUUUCCUUAUCUAUCAUUGAAAUGCAAAACUGGAGCCUCUCCCUCUUAUUUCCCUCUUUCAAGUGAGGCUUCAAUGUAUUGGAGUGGCGUCUUAUCAAGCCUAACUAGAACUUCCUGUGUAAUGUCGAAAUACCGACAUCUAGUAACUUAGCUAGUGAUCUUAAGGUGGAUCUUCUAUUUAGUGGGAUUGUGGCCAUUCUAGAGAGCUCAAGUUCAGCUUUCUUGUGACCGCAUCGGCCAAUUCUUUUGUUAGACACAUCAACUUACAGCCCAAGUACAAUUUGCUCCCUUGCAGUCUUCCAAAUCUUUUGAAUAACUCAAAUUUGUGUCUAAAAGAAUGCAACAACUUCCUUUGUUGCAGUCUUUGGUAAUUUCCCAUUUUUACUCUUUGCAUGCAAUGAUAUGUAAGCAGCAAUCUUUGGGCAUCUGUUAGCCAUUUUCUUAACCUCAUCUGUGGUUGUUGUACACCUGCAUUUAUGAAUCUAUGUCUCUUAUAACAUGUUUAUCUCUAUUCAAAUGUCUGAUAAAUCUUUGCUAGUUCAAGUGUUUAGUACUCCAAUAUCUGAUGAAUCUAUGUCUUAUAAUUAAGUUCAUGUUGUACCUGCACCUUCAGCGAGAGCAUUGGCUUCUUCAUCUUGAGCAGGAACAAUGCCUUCAUCCUGAGCCAUAGCAUCAAUUUCCUCAUCAGCUACAUCCUCAACUUCUCCAGGAGCAACACCUUGAUUCUGAGCCAUAGCGUUGCCUUCUUCACCAGCCAAAACCUCGGCGCCUCCUGGUAUGAUUCUGCUAUCUAACUCUACUGAUGGAGUAGAAUUGAGGUCCAGGAGAAGUUGUUGUAGACUUGCAAGGCAAUAACCAAUUACUGAUGGAGUACUUCCCUGGAUCAAUGUUCAGUAUUUCAGCAAGGAGUAAUUUGAAAUAGGAAUUGUUGAGUUUCCUAGGAGAUGAUAAUAGCACCUGCUUCCCCUGGAUUUGUAGAUUAUCAAAGUGGGCAAUUAAGGGAUGCUCUAAAUCUCUAGUUGCACAUAUUACUACUCUAAAUGGAGAAUGGAGCUUGUACCUACAGCUUUAGCGGGAGCAUCGUCUUCCUUGUCAGAUAAUACCUCGCCUCCAGCAAGUACCAAUUCUUCUAGAAUAGCAGAGUUGAGGUCCGGAAGACUUGUUGCCAUGUAUGCAUAUGUAAUUGCCAACUUGUUGCUACAGAUAGAUUGAAGCAAGCUCGGGCUGGUCGGGAGGAUAGCUUUGCUGGAGAUCGCAAGUGUUGGAGCUGCUUGCUUGCUAGAGACACGUCCAGGAAGAGAUCGCUCGUGUUGGAGAUUGCUUGCUUGGUGGAGGCCGCACGUCCAGGAGCUUGCUUGCCGGAGGUCUCGUGUGUAGGAACUUGCUUGCCGCGGAGUCCGGCCGGCCGGCUGGUCGGGAAGUAGUGAUCGAUGGGAGAGUCGCCGCUUGCAUCUGUGGAUCGUGGCGGGUAGAGGGCCGAUGGGUUCAAAAUUUCAAAAUUCAAAUUGCUUGCUGGCUAGCGUGUGCGGGUGAUGGGAGGGUUGGGGGCACCGGGUACAUGUGCUUGUAAAGCUGGAUGGUAUAAUUGAGGGGUAUAAUUGAUCUUAAUAUGAUUGAAA